rnacentral:rRNA from 1 species
UACGUAGGGUGCAAGCGUUUGUCCGGAAUUAUUGGGCGUAAAGAGCUCGUAGGCGGUUUGUCGCGUCUGCUGUGAAAACCCGAGGCUCAACCUCGGGCCUGCAGUGGGUACGGGCAGACUAGAGUGCGGUAGGGGAGAUUGGAAUUCCUGGUGUAGCGGUGAAAUGCGCAGAUAUCAGGAGGAACACCGGUGGCGAAGGCGGGUCUCUGGGCAGUAACUGACGCUGAGGAGCGAAAGCGUGGGGAGCGAACAGG